CCUACGGGAGGCAGCAGUGAGGAAUAUUGGUCAAUGGACGAAAGUCUGAACCAGCCAUGCCGCGUGCAGGAAGACGGCCCUAUGAGUUGUAAACUGCUUUUGUACGAGGGUAAACGCAGAUACGCGUACCUGUCUGCAAGUACUGUACGAAUAAGGAUCGGCUAACUCCGUGCCAGCAGCCGCGGUAAUACGGAGGAUUCAAGCGUUAUCCGGAUUUAUUGGGUUUAAAGGGUGCGUAGGCGGUCGGUUAAGUUAGAGGUGAAAUGCCGAGGCUCAACUUCGGAAUUGCCUUUGAUACUGGUAGGCUAGAGAGUAGUUGCGGUAGGCGGAAUGUAUGGUGUAGCGGUGAAAUGCUUAGAGAUCAGGCAGAACACCGAUUGCGAAGGCAGCUUACCAAGCU
rnacentral:rRNA from 1 species